CGUAGGUAACCUGCCUGGUAGCGGGGGAUAACUAUUGGAAACGAUAGCUAAUACCGCAUAAGAGUAGAUGUUGCAUGACAUUUGCUUAAAAGGUGCAAUUGCAUCACUACCAGAUGGACCUGCGUUGUAUUAGCUAGUUGGUGAGGUAACGGCUCACCAAGGCAACGAUACAUAGCCGACCUGAGAGGGUGAUCGGCCACACUGGGACUGAGACACGGCCCAG
rnacentral:rRNA from 1 species